AUUGAACGCUGGCGGCAGGCCUAACACAUGCAAGUCGGGCGAGCGGCGGACGUGAGAGAAAUGUAUGUGGAUCUGCCUGAGGGAUAGGGAUGACUACGGGAAACGGUAACUGCAAACGCCUACCAUCGGCUGAAACCAUAUGGGAUUAGCUUGGAGGGAGGGUAACGGCUUACCUAGGCGCCGAUCCCUAGCUGGUCUGAGAGGAUGAUCAGCCACACGGGGACUGAGACACGGCCCAGACUCCUACGGGAGGCAGCAGUGGGGAAUAUUGCACAAUGGGGGAAAGCCUGAUGCAGCCAUGCCGCGUGUAUGAUGAAGGCCUUCGGGUUGUAAAGCACUUUCAGCCGGGAGGCGGUACCUACAGAAUAAGCACCGGCUAACUACGUGCCAGCAGCCGCGGUAAUUC
rnacentral:rRNA from 1 species